GAUGAACGCUGGCGGCGUGCUUAACACAUGCAAGUCGAACGGUGAAGGCGGAGCUUGCUCUGCUGGAUCAGUGGCGAACGGGUGAGUAACACGUGAGCAAUCUGCCCCUGACUCUGGGAUAAGCGCUGGAAACGGCGUCUAAUACUGGAUACGAGCUGCGAAGGCAUCUUCAGCAGCUGGAAAGAAUUUCGGUCAGGGAUGAGCUCGCGGCCUAUCAGCUUGUUGGUGAGGUAAUGGCUCACCAAGGCGUCGACGGGUAGCCGGCCUGAGAGGGUGACCGGCCACACUGGGACUGAGACACGGCCCAGACGCCUACGGGAGGCAGCAGUGGGGAAUAUUGCACAAUGGGCGAAAGCCUGAUGCAGCAACGCCGCGUGAGGGACGACGGCCUUCGGGUUGUAAACCUCUUUUAGCAGGGAAGAAGCGAAAGUGACGGUACCUGCAGAAAAAGCGCCGGCUAACUACGUG
rnacentral:rRNA from 1 species